UGCAGUUUUGCUGUUUAAAUAAAUAAAUAAACCUAAAUGUUCACAUUACAAUUUACACAAGGUUAACUACUUUUGCUGCUCCAGCUUUAAAACCCCACAGAGUGUACACAUCGACAUCCUUUUCUGAUCGUAUUUGGAUUGUGUACAUAGAAUGAGGCAGAACGUAUAUUAUUUGUAUCUUUCUAUACGAUGUUAAAGGCUACAUUGAUUAACAUUUUUGUAAAAAUACCCUAACUGCAAUAAAAAUAUUGACAAGGCAUAUAAUCAUGUAUUUACUGGAUUUAUGUUUUAUCUGUUCUGUUCACGAAGUAGCCUCUCUAUUGAGCUCCCGGGGAAAAUUCCUCGAUGUCAUACCCGCAUUUUCACUCACAACAGCAUGAAUAUGUAUGAAUGUAACACAUCAUAAGAAAGUGUUUCACUGCUGUUCAAACGCUCCUUGGAUUGGAUAAAUCAAUUACCAAUGAUUUAAAUUGUAACUGUAGUGGAAUACAGUUACUUAUAUUUUGUAUUUUAAAUACGUAAUCCCGUUACAUGUAUUCCGUUACUCCCCAACCCUGACGAUGACAUAAGACCUAAAAAUUGAUAGUCAUAUCAGAUAAAGUCAAACGGUGGAAACUAUAACUUAGCUAGCAGGCAAAUUGACUAACUGGUUUAAAGAUUGGCGUUGUUACCAGCAUAAAGUUUCUUUCCAUUGUGCUUCCUCGAAAGUGAAAUCAAGCUCUUCAGUACCACAAUCCAUAAUAAAACACCCCAUUAAAGUGGCUAACGCUAUCUCAUGAACUACAGCACUAAAAGAGCUUCCUGGCUAACUAUCAGUCCAAUAAAAUAUCUUACCUGUCAAGCAAAAAAAAAGCCAUCUCUGGGAUGGUUUUAAAUUCUUUCAGAUUUUGGAGUUGUCUCCACCACUGAAAAAUCCAAGCCGAUGUUAUUUUGUGUUUUAUUACAGGCUCUGUCUCUUUCCCUUUUUGCUUGCAGACUGUUCUCGUUUCGGUAUCUUUAUUUUGAAAACGGGCAAUUCCCCAGAGGUUUACUUUUUUGAAUGAUCCAUGGUCAGUGUUGCUCAUUUGUUGUGGCUACAAGCUUUCAGCUUAAAACUACUACCACCUAUCAUACAUAUCUGGGAUGGUAUGAGGGUGAGUAAAUGAGAGAAUUUUCAUUUUUGGGUAAACUAACCCUUUAACCGUAAGUGGAAGUGACGCCACCUUUUGGAGUUGGCGCAACCCCCUUUUGGAGUAACAACGCCCCUUCUGUUGUAACUUCACCCUCUUUCGGAGAUGCUGCCUCCAUUUGAAGGUCUCCCGCCUGCAGCUAUGCCUACUUGCAUUUACUUAUCAGGCCACUGGUGGAAAUGUCCAGUAGAUGGCACUAGAUGCAUAAGUGCAUUGUUUUGUAUGUAAUGAACUUAAUGAACAGUAAUGAACAUUAAUUUAUUACCUCUAUUUGUUGUUACGAAAUGUGCUCCAGGUUACAAUAAAAUAAUGAAAUUGCAUGUCAAACAGAAAUAUGAGUUUACUGCUUCUUAACUGUUGAGGCUUUGAGCUUUCAUAGAAUUCUAAGUUUACAACUCAUUACGAGUUCUACACAGACAUGAACACUUUGUCCGAAUGUCAUAAUUACAGUAAUUCCACAUGAAGUGAAUGCACCAUUAAUCAUUUUUGGAAGAAACAAAAACACAACAACCCAAGUUUGUACAAAAACAGUAUGUUGGCCUUGUCAUACAGUAAAUACUUCCAAUGAACUUUUAAGUAUCUCAGCAUGGAUUUUGUUGCUAUCUAACCUGGCUCUGUUUGUACAUCAGGUGCUGUAUCUGAGCCCUUAAUCGAAUUUAAUCAGAACGACAGUAACUGCUCGGCUGAUGGCAGUUGGGCCGCUUAUGACUGUGACCACAGUGUAUGUACACGGACACACGGAUCUCUUGCCUCCAUUAACAUCACUGUUAUUGCAUUGGGCAGUAGACAAGUUCAAGGUCAGGCCAACAACCAUGUGAGCAGGAAUCAUUCUGGAAUCAAUCAUUCACACUGAACAUUGUGCCUGGAAAAACAGGAAACUUGUCUUUUUGGAUUGUUUUUACCAUUUGUGUUGGUGUUGUGCUGGGUUUCCUUUUGGGUUUGGUUAUAGUGCUUGUCAAAAAAAGAAACCCUUCAAAGAUUCAUCCACAGUCUAGUGUUGCCGUGAUUGACGAGACAAUGAGUGUACAGGGUCCUGAAACUGUGUACAGCACAGAGCACAAGGCAAACACAUACCAGACUCAUGCAGCAAACAACACUGACAGAAACAUGGAAGGAACCAUUUACGACACCCCAUCAAGAAAAGUUCAUCAAGCCGUCAGUCUGGAGGUAAUGAUAGAAAAUCAGGAGCAACAGCGCCCUCGAGAGGACAACAUGGUUAAAGUAAGAGCUACCUUACACCAGGCAGCAGAACCCGAUUCGGAACAAAUCAACACAAUUUACUGCAAACUGGGAGAGAUAUGACUCUAAUUAGAUUACGCCUUCUCAUAGUAUAAUUGUUAAAUAGCCUAUUAAAAAAAACUCCAAUCUUGUAUUCUAUGCACAUUUAAGCUGUUUAUGUGGCUAAGAGGGUGGCUCCCCCUGGUUAAAAUCAUCUUAUUACAGAAAAGACUAUUUUUGUCAGAAUUGUAUAAUUAUUACAGGCUCAUGUCAAGCAGUCACACUGCAGAUGAGAGGUAUUUCAUUGGUCCUAUAAAUUUUCUCAUGUUGGUAAAUUAAUUCCAAACGAAUCUUUUUAGACUGAACUCUUUGAUGUGGAAUGGAGAUGGUAUAUUUUAUGUAAUGUGUUAUAGUGCUAUUAUCAAAUAAAGACAACUACACAGCUGUUAUGUUGUUAUUUACCAUGCAAUUAUCAUUCCAGUUGAGGUCACAAUGAAUGCAGAAGGAACAUGCUGACACAGUUCAACAUUAGAGAAUCCGCAGUGAACAUAUAGAAAAAUCUAAAAACAAUAUGCAUAUUACAAUAAUAAUAAAAAUUAAUGCAUAUCAGCGCUAUAUUUUUGUCUGCAGGUUACAUCUUUAAGACAUUUCUACUGUUUUGUUUUUUGUUGAAAAUGUUACAUAUAUCGUGGAGAGCUGGGGCUAGUUUUCAGAAUGUCACAAUGUUUUCCCCCAGUGUUUGUUUGCUCUAUACUAGCAGUGGUACUAGUAGUAGUACUAGUAGUAUGUUCAUUAUAAACACUAAUUUAAAACUAUCUAACUAACUGUCUCAAAUUAUAAUAAUUUGUGUGAA